UCGGGCCUCAUGCCAUCAGAUGUGCCCAGAUGGGAUUAGCUAGUAGGUGGGGUAACGGCUCACCUAGGCGACGAUCCCUAGCUGGUCUGAGAGGAUGACCAGCCACACUGGAACUGAGACACGGUCCAGACUCCUACGGGAGGCAGCAGUGGGGAAUAUUGCACAAUGGGCGCAAGCCUGAUGCAGCCAUGCCGCGUGUGUGAAGAAGGCCUUCGGGUUGUAAAGCACUUUCAGCGGGGAGGAAGGCGUUCAGGUUAAUAACCUUGUCGAUUGACGUUACCCGCAGAAGAAGCACCGGCUAACUCCGUGCCAGCAGCCGCGGUAAUACGGAGGGUGCAAGCGUUAAUCGGAAUUACUGGGCGUAAAGCGCACGCAGGCGGUCUGUCAAGUCGGAUGUGAAAUCCCCGGGCUCAACCUGGGAACUGCAUUCGAAACUGGCAGGCUAGAGUCUUGUAGAGGGGGGUAGAAUUCCAGGUGUAGCGGUGAAAUGCGUAGAGAUCUGGAGGAAUACCGGUGGCGAAGGCGGCCCCCUGGACAAAG
rnacentral:rRNA from 1 species